rnacentral:misc_RNA from 1 species
CCUCCCUUGCCCGUACGUCUUCUCUUCCUUUAUUUAUUAUUUUUCUGUUAAUAUUUUAACCACCGUACAUAGCACAAUUAAGCAAAACAAAAAGUCCAUAAAAAUACUCAUUUUAUGAUUUUGACACUAGCUUUAUUAAUCAGCAUGAAUAAACAAUUGGUAAUGACAAUAAAGAAUUAUGCAUGAAAUUAGGUUAAAAUUGAAUGUGAAAUGUGUUACUGUUGGAGACCCUGGCAUCCCUCCACCAGCCACGUUCUUUUCUGUAACCGUACUUAUGGCUUAACCGAAAAAGUUUUAAACACCCAAAACGAAAAGUCUUAGUGCAGUCCAUUUUCGUACCAAAGGAAAUAAGUGUAUUCCAUGAUAAUCCAUGUGACUUGAGAUUGUAGCAUUAGGAUUUUCCUCCUUUUGUAUUUAAUUUUAGUUAAAUUUAUUUGCUUUCUUUACAUCUUCACCAUUCAAAGUGACUAGCAUCGUGUCCGAUGCAGUGGAAAAUUUGACUAGCUUUUCUUUGGUUCAAUGCAGUGGAAUCCGUAGGAAGAAGACCCUAGCACUGGCAAAUGGGUCCCUAGGGGAUAGGAAUAGGAUUUGCCAGAUCUUUCACUUAUAUUUUAGGGUGUGGAUGUGGCCCAGAAUAUAAGAUAUCAUUAAGAUAAAGAAGUCAGUAAUUUAUGGCUGCUAGGUCUUUUAUUAAAUAGUUUUUAGCUGGUUUGAUGACGCCAGAGGUAGGUUUUCGAGGUGCGUUGUUGUCUUUAUUGAAGGAAAUACCAUGGGUUGCAUGGCAACCCAUAGAUUGGCAACCCUUAGGCUCACUGGUGGGUUGCUCUUCUUUGAUGCAGUGGUUCACCACGUGUACUCUCUAGUGUUACAAGUUGAAUUUUUUAUAUUGUCAACCAGUCAAUCUCCAAGAGUAGAAUCCACCUCUGUUGAUUGGUGAUGAGCAACGUAGAUGAUCGUCUUUUAAAAAUUUUAAUCUAUAUUCCCACUUUCUCUUAAGCAUAAUAGGGUCCAGUUAAGUGAUUCAGCAAAAUCUAAAAAAGUGUCAAGAAGUUGGUGAGAUCCCUACAUGAUUGAUAUGAUUAAAAAAAGGGCAAGUGCCAAAUUGGUAGAAAUGGUAAAGACGGACCGCUGAAACAGUGCUAUGCAAAAUUUCUAAAUCUUACAGUUGAGUAUUUAUUUUAUAAUUAAUGUUGAUUAACUCCUUUAAUAAGGAGACUACUUUGAAGAGGAAAAUGACAAAAGCUAGCAUAACACAAAUAUAGAGAAAUAUUAUAAUUUUUAAUUAAUUAAGGAUACUGACUAGGUGUAGCAAAUUCUAAUGAUAACAUUAGUGAUCAAAGUUUUAAAGUGAAUAAUUUGAACUUGUGAGUAUAUAAAAAGAUGAAUAAUUGAGAGGAAAGUUUUUGAUAAGGGCAUUUUAAUUCAAAAAAUAUUAUUAUGUAAGUUUCAUGAAAUUCAUUUCAAAUUCUAUCAAAU